rnacentral:rRNA from 1 species
CGAACGGUAACAGGUCUUCGGGUGCUGACGAGUGGCGAACGGGUGAGUAAUACAUCGGAACGUGCCCGAUCGUGGGGGAUAACGAAGCGAAAGCUUUGCUAAUACCGCAUAAGAUCUACGGAUGAAAGCAGGGGACCGCAAGGCCUUGCGCGAACGGAGCGGCCGAUGGCAGAUUAGGUGGUUGGUGGGAUAAAAGCUUACCAAGCCGACGAUCUGUAGCUGGUCUGAGAGGACGACCAGCCACACUGGGACUGAGACACGGCCCAGACUCCUACGGGAGGCAGCAGUGGGGAAUUUUGGACAAUGGGCGAAAGCCUGAUCCAGCCAUGCCGCGUGCAGGAUGAAGGCCUUCGGGUCGUAAACUGCUUUUGUACGGAACGAAAAGACUCUGGUUAAUACCUGGGGUCCAUGACGGUACCGUAAGAAUAAGCACCGGCUAACUACGUGCCAGCAGCCGCGGUAAUACGUAGGGUGCAAGCGUUAAUCGGAAUUACUGGGCGUAAAGCGUGCGCAGGCGGUUAUAUAAGACAGAUGUGAAAUCCCCGGGCUCAACCUGGGAACUGCAUUUGUGACUGUAUAGCUAGAGUACGGCAGAGGGGGAUGGAAUUCCGCGUGUAGCAGUGAAAUGCGUAGAUAUGCGGAGGACACCGAUGGCGAAGGCAAUCCCCUGGGCCUGUA